GAUGAACGCUAGCGGCAGGCCUAACACAUGCAAGUCGAGGGGCAGCACGUCUUCGGAUGGUGGCGACCGGCGCACGGGUGCGUAACGCGUAUGCAACCUACCUUUGACUGGAGAAUAGCCCCGAGAAAUCGGGAUUAAUACUCCAUAAUAUUAUGAAGUGGCAUCACUUUAUAAUUAAAGCUCCGGCGGUCUUAGAUGGGCAUGCGUGACAUUAGCUAGUUGGUGAGGUAACGGCUCACCAAGGCUACGAUGUCUAGGGGUUCUGAGAGGAUUUUCCCCCACACUGGUACUGAGACACGGACCAGACUCCUACGGGAGGCAGCAGUAAGGAAUAUUGGGCAAUGGACGCAAGUCUGACCCAGCCAUGCCGCGUGCAGGAUGACAGCCCUACGGGUUGUAAACUGCUUUUAUACGGGAAAAAACCCCUGCACGAGUUGCGGGGUUGAUGGUACCGUAAGAAUAAGCAUCGGCUAACUCCGU
rnacentral:rRNA from 1 species